AGUGAACGCUGGCGGUAGGCCUAACACAUGCAAGUCGAACGGCAGCACAGUAAGAGCUUGCUCUUACGGGUGGCGAGUGGCGGACGGGUGAGGAAUACAUCGGAAUCUACUUUUUCGUGGGGGAUAACGUAGGGAAACUUACGCUAAUACCGCAUACGACCUACGGGUGAAAGCAGGGGAUCUUCGGACCUUGCGCGAUUGAAUGAGCCGAUGUCGGAUUAGCUAGUUGGCGGGGUAAAGGCCCACCAAGGCGACGAUCCGUAGCUGGUCUGAGAGGAUGAUCAGCCACACUGGAACUGAGACACGGUCCAGACCCCUACGGGAGGCAGCAGUGGGGAAUAUUGGACAAUGGGCGCAAGCCUGAUCCAGCCAUACCGCGUGGGUGAAGAAGGCCUUCGGGUUGUAAAGCCCUUUUGUUGGGAAAGAAAAGCAGCAGGUUAAUACCCCGCUGUUCUGACGGUACCCAAAGAAUAAGCAGCGGCUAACUUCGUG
rnacentral:rRNA from 1 species